UACGUGGGAGCAAGCGUUUUCCGGAAUCUUUGGGCGUAAAGCGCGCUUUGGUGGCUUCAUAAGUCCGUUGUGAAAGUCAAAGGCUCAACCUUUGAAAGCCGAUGGAUACUGUGAAGCUAGAGUACGGAAGAGGCGAGUGGAAUUCCUGGUGUAGCGGUGGAAUGCGCAGAUAUCAGGAGGAACACCAAUAGCGAAGGCAGCUCGCUGGGACGUUACUGACACUGAGGCGCGAAAGCGUGGGGAGCGAACAGG
rnacentral:rRNA from 1 species